rnacentral:rRNA from 1 species
UACAGAGGUCUCAAGCGUUGUUCGGAUUCAUUGGGCGUAAAGGGUGCGUAGGUGGCGGGGUAAGUCAGGUGUGAAAUCUCGGGGCUCAACCCCGAAACUGCACUUGAUACUGCCUUGCUCGAGUACUGGAGAGGAGAUUGGAAUUUACGGUGUAGCAGUGAAAUGCGUAGAUAUCGUAAGGAAGACCAGUGGCGAAGGCGGCAUCCUGGACCGAGAUUGACGCUGAGGCGCGAAAGCCAGGGGAGCAAACGGG